ACGCUCCUGCCAUGCUAUAAGUUGGUACAUGGAAGAUGGGGAAGAUCUCCAAGAAUUGGCUGCAAUGUCUUCAAAUUCCAGUGCCCUGGAUUGAGUUGGCCAUUGCGUACUAUUCUGCUGUCAAAAGGAUCAUCCUAUAGAGGCGAGAACUGGCUGGUUCACAAAUUUUGUGAUUUACAACUGUUUUACAGUUUUGGAGCCAAUUGAAAUAUCCAGUGUUUUUAAUGAGAGCUGAUGCAUCCCCAAACGGAGAUUGUAAGGUGUUGCUGUUUUCCUGGAUGGAAACUCUUCCGUCGUAGCAUCCAGUUGGGACUUGCUAUGGCAAGAGUGUCAGCGCAGGAGACAACACCAGGACAAAAAUGAAGCUCUUGGCAGACAUGAGGCUUGGAAGGGACAACUUUUACACUUUACUUCCAUCAGUCGAGAAGAACCGAUCCAUCACAGUCCUGAAGAACAGCAAAGUUAGAAGACAAGAAUUUAAAUCUUGCAAAGCUACUCCUGUCGAUGAAACAGUCGUGGAAGUGCAAGCGAAGAACUCCUGCUGGUAUCGUCCUGUCCCAAUCGGUGUGCUUGCUCAGAGUGUCCCUGAUGAUUCUCUUGGCUUGAGGACAGGAUCUCGAGUAACUGUGGUAGCCAUUCUUGUAUCCUCCACUCUCAUCAUGAUCCAAAACACUAGCUCAGAGACAGCAGAAGCAAAACCAAAAUGUUCCCUCUCCAACUUCCCAUCCUCAGGUAUUGCAGGUUGGCAUGUCUUCUUCCUCCUCGAAUUUUCUUGGCAGUAAUCGAUGAUCUGAAGAUGAGAGUCGUUCCGUGAUGAAGUGGGUCACUGAUACAAGGCUCUUAUAGUCCAGGUUAAGCCGUCACAAACCGUGUCUGCUGCCUCUAAUGAGUGUUUCCAUGCUUAAGAAAUCCUUUGACAUCA